rnacentral:lncRNA from 1 species
CGGGAGCCUGCCUGCCUGCCUUCAAGUGUCUGUGCUGAUAUCUGUUUGUCUGUAUGGGAAGGCAGGCUACAGGCAGGCUCCUCAGGGCCAGCGGCGUGGUGCGCAGGCUAGAGUAACUGUCGUUCUCCCCUUGCUGUCCAGCCCAGGAUCAGAGUGCAGAACCCAUGGCCAGCAGCUCAAAUGAGACAGCAGCUGCUCUGCUCAGCUGCAGGCACAGGGGCUACUGUGGACCAGUUUUUGGAACAGACAAGUGUUCUACAGCCUGCUACUGAGGCCACUGUCACUGAUGUCUGGUUCAUCUGAUCCCAAGUCGGGCUGCCCCUUCCAUGUGGCAAGAAUUGUGCUCUAACUGGAUCGUGGCCCUACCCUGCUCCCUGCCUGAGUGAGGCAGACAGGGCAGGGGCCCAGAGUCACCAAGAAGAUGCUUGCUCACUGUGAGGGGUGCCCAAGCUGACGAGCUCGCUGUGUCAGUUACCCAGAGAGAUGGACUGCUUUGCUUUUUAACCAAGAGCCUGGAAUGACAGAUGACCUUGGAG